GAUGAAUGCUGGCGGUGUGCCUAAUACAUGCAAGUCGAGCGGAAAGGCCCCUUCGGGGGUACUCGAGCGGCGGACGGCUGAGUAACGCGUAGGAACGUACCCCAAACUGAGGGAUAAUUCACCGAAAGGUGGACUAAUACCGCAUGUGCUCUUCGGAGUAAAGCUUCGGCGGUUUGGGAACGGCCUGCGUCCGAUUAGGUUGUUGGUGAGGUAAUGGCUCACCAAGCCGACGAUCGGUAGCUGGUCUGAG
rnacentral:rRNA from 1 species